rnacentral:rRNA from 1 species
GAGUUUGAUCAUGGCUCAGGAUGAACGCUGGCGGCGUGCCUAAUACAUGCAAGUCGAACGAGGUGCUUUUUGUAGCAAUACGAGGAGUAUCCUAGUGGCGAACGGGUGAGUAACAAAUAAGUGACCUACCCCAAAGUGUGGAAUAACAGUCCGAAAGGAUUGCUAAUGCCGCAUGUGGUCUGCGAGUUUAGAAAUCGUUGACUAAAGGAGCAAUCCGCUUUGGGAGGGACCUGCGUCCCAUCAGCUAGUUGGCGAGGUAACGGCUCACCAAGGCGACGACGGGUAGGGGACCUGAGAGGGUGGCCCCCCACAAUGGAACUGAAACACGGUCCAUACACCUACGGGUGGCAGCAGUAGGGAAUAUUGCACAAUGGGCGAAAGCCUGAUGCAGCAACGCCGCGUGCGCGAUGAA